rnacentral:rRNA from 1 species
AGUGAACGCUGGCGGUAGGCCUAACACAUGCAAGUCGAACGGCAGCACAGUAAGAGCUUGCUCUUACGGGUGGCGAGUGGCGGACGGGUGAGGAAUACAUCGGAAUCUACUUUUUCGUGGGGGAUAACGUAGGGAAACUUACGCUAAUACCGCAUACGACCUACGGGUGAAAGCAGGGGAUCUUCGGACCUUGCGCGAUUGGAUGAGCCGAUGUCGGAUUAGCUAGUUGGCGGGGUAAAGGCCCACCAAGGCGAGGAUCCGUAGCUGGUCUGAGAGGAUGAUCAGCCACCCUGGAACGGGGACACGGUCCAGACUCCUACGGGAGGCAGCAGUGGGGAAUAGUGGACAAAGGGCGCAAGCCUGAUCCAGCCAGACCGCGUGGGUGAAGAAGGCCUUCGGGUUGUAAAGCCCUUUUGUUGGGUAAGAAAAGCAGCAGGUUAAUACCCCGCUGUUCUGACGGUACCCAAAGAAUAAGCACCGGCUAACUACGUG